GCAUGCGUCAUUCUCGCUUCCGCUUUGUCCACACUUGCUCGCGCGGGUGCUUCCCUCUAAGGUGGAACGCUCCCCUACCAAUGCAUUUUUACAUCCCACAGCAAGAAGUUAUGGUCCUGGAGGUAUAAUAUCAACUACUUGAUGUCCAUCCGAUGUAUCCGCUAUGGUUAUUUCAUAUCCCCCCUUUUCUUUUCGUACUAUUUUGCUUACUAUACCCACCAUUGUAGCAUUAUAGACUGUAUUGUUACUCUUGCUCCCAUCGGGAUAAAU